AGUCAACAUGCCCAGGGGACGUGGAUAACCUCGGGAAACUGAGGAUAAACCGCGAUAGGUCAUAAUGUCUGGAAUGAUUUAUGGCUCAGACCUAUAUGGCCCCUGGAUUGGACUGCGGCCGAUCAGGCUGUUGGUGAGGUAAUGGCCCACCAAACCUAAAACCGGUACGGGCUCUGAGAGGAGAAGCCCGGAGAUGGGCACUGAGACAAGGGCCCAGGCCCUAUGGGGCGCAGCAGGCGCGAAAACUCUGCAAUAGGCGAAAGCUUGACAGGGUUAUUCUGAGUGAUCUCCGUUAAGGAAAUCUUUUGGCACCUCUAAAAAUGGUGCAGAAUAAGGGGUGGGCAAGCCUGGUGUCAGCCGCCGCGGUAAUACCAGCACCCCGAGUGGUCGGGACGAUUAUUGGGCCUAAAGCAUCCGUAGCCGGUUCUACAAGUCUUCCGUUAAAUCCACCUGCUUAACAGAUGGGCUGCAGAGGAUACUAUAGAGCUAGGAGGCGGGAGAGGCAAGCGGUACUCAGUGGGUAGGGGUAAAAUCCGUUGAUCCACUGAAGACCACCAGUGGCGAAGGCGGCUUGCCAGAACACGCUCGACGGUGAGGGAUGAAAGCUGGGGGAGCAAACCGGAUUAGAUACCCGGGUAGUCCCAGCUGUAAACGAUGCAGACUCGGUGAUGAAUAGGCUUAGUGCCUAUUCAGUGCCGCAGGGAAGCCGUUAAGUCUGCCGCCUGGGGAGUACGGUCGCAAGACUGAAACUUAA
rnacentral:rRNA from 1 species